UGCGUCUCCAAUGGCACUCUUAUCUACAUUGUGCACUACUAUUGACCAGAGCCCUGUGAACCUUGGUCAAACACAGUGCACUGUAUAGCCUAGGGAAUAGGGUGCCAUUUGGGAAGCACUUUGUACAAAAUGGGCUGAAAGCUGUUUAAGCUGUGGCCCAAGCACAUGGAUCUCCACUUAGCUUGUUAGAAGAAGAUAAUAGCCAUGAUCAAUGUGUUGCCUUCAGAUUGGUAAUUCCUCACGAAUGCACUGACAUUUCUUGCAAUUCCUUUUUGAAAAGCUGUUACAAUGUUCGUCCUCUAUUGUUGUUUAACUACAUAGCAAAUUUUCUGUUGAAAGUUGAAAGAAGAACUGAAUUUGAGCUGUGAAGUGAUAAUUGUCAGCUUUAUGCUUGAAGAUCAGUCCCUGCAGGAUUCCGUACUUCUGCGAUCUGAAAUUGGAAAAAAUCAUCGCAUAUGCAAAAUGUCAGAAAUCAAAAUCAAGAAUUUUUGCCCACAAAAUAACACAAAAAAUCCCUGUGAAAUUCUGAAGGGAUUGGUAGAUGCUCCGUGAAAGACAUUUGUAGAUGAUAUAGCCUGCUGCUUUUAGCCAGGUUCUAUUCAAUUACUGAGGUUAGCUUGGAUUUGGAUUUGCACUAUAACUUUCACCAAAUUCCCAGGUUUUCCAGAAAUCCCGGUUUGGAGGAUUCCUGAUUCCCUGCUGAUUCUAGGAAUCUUCCAAAUCAAAUCAAAAGGUAUUUGUCACAUGCUCCGUAAACAACAGGUGUAGACUAACAGGUGUAGACUAACAGGUGUAGACUAACAGGUGUAGACUAACAGGGGAAUGCUCCGUAAACAACAGGUGUAUAGACCUCACAGUGAAAUGCUGAAUACAACAGGUGUAGUAGACCUUACAGUGAAAUGCUGAAUACAACAGGUGUAGUAGACCUCACAGUGAAAUGCUGAAUACAACAGGUGUAGUAGACCUCACAGUGAAAUGCUGAAUACAACAGGUGUAGUAGACCGUACAGUGAAAUGCUGACUGACGGGUCCUUUAGAACAAUGUAGAGAAAAAAUAGAAAAAAAUAAAAAAUAAAUGAGUAACAACUUGUCAGUAUACACUGGGUACCAGGUAAUAACAUGGUUAUAUACACAGGGUACCAGUACUGAGUAGAUGUGCAGGGGUAUGAGGUAAUAACAUGGUUAUAUACACUGGGUACCAGUAUGGAGUCAAUGUGCAGGGUAUGAGGUAAUAACAUGGUUAUAUACACAGGGUACCAGUACUGAGUAGAUGUAGAGGGGUAUGAGGUAAUAACAUGGUUAUAUACACAGGGUACCAGUACUGAGUAGAUGUAGAGGGGUAUGAGGUAAUAACAUGGCUAUAUACACAGGGUACCAGUACUGAGUAGAUAUGCAGGGGUAUGAGGUAAUAACAUGGUUAUAUACACAGGGUACCAGUACUGAGUAGAUGUAGAGGGGUAUGAGGUAAUAACAUGGCUAUAUACACAGGGUACCAGUACUGAGUAGAUAUGCAAGGGUAUGAGGUAAUAACAUGGUUAUAUACACUGGGUACCAGUACUGAGUAGAUAUGCAGGGGUAUGAGGUAAUAACAUGGUUAUAUACACUGGGUACCAGUACUGAGUAGAUAUGCAGGGGUAUGAGGUAAUAACAUGGUUAUAUACACUGGGUACCAGUACUGAGUAGAUAUGCAGGGGUAUGAGGUAAUAACAUGGUUAUAUACACUGGGUACCAGUACUGAGUAGAUAUGCAAGGGUAUGAGGUAAUAACAUGGUUAUAUACACACUAUUUAGCAGUCAACCAGGAUUUCUGGAAAAUGUAGGAAUUUGGUGAAAGCUGAAUUUAGCAACCCUAGCUUGGAUGAAAUACUACAUGCAGACACAGUAACAUGGUUAUAUACACAGGGCACCAGUACUGAUGAAAUACUACAUGCAGACACAGUAACAUGGUUAUAUACACAGGGCACCAGUACUGAUGAAAUACUACAUGCAGACACAGUAACAUGGUUAUAUACACAGGGCACCAGUACUGAUGAAAUACUACAUGCAGACACAGUAACAUGGUUAUAUACACAGGGCACCAGUACUGAUGAAAUACUACAUGCAGA
ensembl:lncRNA